rnacentral:rRNA from 1 species
CGAAAGUCGACGUAUAGGGUGUGACGCCUGCCCGGUGCUGGAAGAUUAAAUGAUGGGGUGCAAGCUCUUGACUGAAGUCCCAGUAAACGGCGGCCGUAACUAUAACGGUCCUAAGGUAGCGAAAUUCCUUGUCGGGUAAGUUCCGACCUGCACGAAUGGCGUAACGACUUCCCCGCUGUCUCCAGCAUAGACUCAGCGAAAUUGAAUUCUCCGUGAAGAUGCGGAGUUCCCGCGGUCAGACGGAAAGACCCCGUGCACCUUUACUACAGCUUCGCACUGGCAUCAGGACUGCAAUGUGCAGGAUAGGUGGUGGGCUUUGAAGCAGGGACGCCAGUUCCUGUGGAGCCUCCCUUGAGAUACCACCCUUUGCAUUCUUGAUGUCUAACCGCGGUCCGUUAUCCGGAUCCGGGACCAUGCGUGGUGGGUAGUUUGACUGG